rnacentral:rRNA from 1 species
CCUACGGGUGGCAGCAGUGAGGAAUAUUGGUCAAUGGCCGUAAGGCUGAACCAGCCAAGUAGCGUGAGGGAAGACUGCCCUAUGGGUUGUAAACCUCUUUUAUGCGGGGAUAAAGGUGUCCACGUGUGGAUGUUUGCAGGUACCGCAUGAAUAAGGACCGGCUAAUUCCGUGACAGGCGCCGCGGUAAUACGGAAGGCCCGGGGGUUAUCCGGAUUUAUUGGGUUUAAAGGGAGCGUAGGGCGGUCUUUAAGCGUGCCGUGAAAUUUGGUGGCUCAACCAUGGGAGUGCGGCGCGAACUGGAGACCUUGAGUGCGCGAGAGGCAUGCGGAAUGCGUGGUGUAGCGGUGAAAUGCUUAGAUAUCACGAAGAACCCCGAUUGCGAAGGCAGCCUGCCGCAGCGUUACUGACGCUGAAGCUCGAAAGCGCGGGUAUCGAACAGGAUUAGAUACCCUAGUAGUC